AACGAACGCUGGCGGCAUGCCUAACACAUGCAAGUCGAACGAGACCUUCGGGUCUAGUGGCGCACGGGUGCGUACGGCUGGGAAUCUACCCCUGGGUUUGGGAUUACCUUGGGGAAAUGGAGGUUAAACCCGGUGAAGAAGUUAGGUCCAAGAUUUAUCGCCCAAGGAUGAGCCCGCGUAGGAUUAGCCAGUUGGUGAGGUAAAGGCUCACCAAGGGCUACGAUCCUUAGCUGGUCUGAGAGGAUGAUCAGCCACACUGGGACUGAGACACGGCCCAGACUCCUACGGGAGGCAGAAGUGGGGAAUAUUGGACAAUGGGCGAAAGCCUGAUCCAGCAAUGCCGCGUGAGUGAUGAAGGCCUUAGGGUUGUAAAGCUCUUUUACCCGGGAUGAUAAUGACAGUACCGGGAGAAUAAGCUCCGGCUAACUUCGUGCCAGCAGCCGCCGUAAAAC
rnacentral:rRNA from 1 species